rnacentral:rRNA from 1 species
GAUGAACGCUGGCGGCGUGCCUAAUACAUGCAAGUCGAGCGAACCGACGAGGAGCUUGCUCCUCUGCCGUUAGCGGCGGACGGGUGAGUAACACGUGGAUAACCUACCUCUAAGACUGGGAGAACUUCGAGGAGCCGGAGCUACUACCGGCUAAUAUAUUGAACCGCAUGGUUCAAUAGUGAAAGACGCUUUUGCUGUCACUUAUAGAUGGAUCCGCGCCGCAUUAGCUAGUUGGUAAGGUAACGGCUUACCAAGGCAACGAUGCGUAGCCGACCUGAGAGGGUGAUCAGCCACACUGGAACUGAGACACGGUCCAGACUCCUACGGGAGGCAGCAGUGGGGAAUAUUCCGCAAAGGGCGAAAGCCUGAUGCAGCAACGCCGCGUGAGUGAUGAAGGUCUUCGGAUCGUAAAGCUCUGUUAUUAGGGAAGAACAACAGUGUAAGUAACCAUGGACGUCUUGACGGUACCUAAUCAGAAAGCCACGGCUAACUACGUG